rnacentral:tRNA from 1 species
GGAGAACCUUGGAUGGCAGGUCUGCUAUCGUAUACAUUUGUUCAUGGGUAAGGCUGAAGGCCUUGUCCCAAGAAAUCGACAAGCUGCAUUUGUAAAGAGUCCAGGUACAUAGUACUGGAUACUCUAUACUAUUAGAGGGCUUGUAGCUCAGGUGGUUAGAGCGCUACACUGAUAAUGUAGAGGUCCGUGGUUCGAGUCACGCAGGCCCACAUCUACGAAAUCGUGAAGCACCAAACCCCAGGUCACAGAUACUUGGAAUUUGAAUUUUGGUAUUUGAGGUUUUGGGAGAAUGGGGGAUUAGCUCAGCUGGCUAGAGCGCCUGCCUUGCACGCAGGAGGUCAUCGGUUCGACUCCGAUAUCCUCCACUCUAAAGAUGUCAGAUGAUAGGCACUGGACAUCAGGAAAAAUGCAGUUAAAAAAUAUCAGGCGAAAGGUUUGAUAAAGGUUGAAAUAGUGGUAACGGAAAGCGAUUGACGGAUAACCGUUGACCGGUAACUGAUUACUGACUACGUUACCAGAUGCACAGAAGCAAAAAGCCGGAGAGCCGUUCGGAUGAGUGGGGGUGCUAUGGACUGGUAAGAAGUUCUUUGACAUAUUGUAAGAGUAGAACACAACAGAGCUCAUUGAGUAUUUAUGCUCAAUGAAUUUAAUAGGUAAUAACAAAAUAC